CGCACAUUGCGCCCGCUAGUAUUCUGGCGGGCAUGCCUGUUCGAGCGUCAUUUCAACCCUCAAGCCCCCUACGGGGAGCCUGGCGUUGGGGGACGGCACCCUCCCCUGGGUGCCGCCCCCGAAAGACAGUGGCGGCCCCGCCGUCUGCCUCCUCUGCGUAGUAGAAACACCUCGCACCGGGACGCGGCGCGGCCAUGCCGUAAAACCUCCAACUUCUGAAGGUUGACCUCGGAUCAGGUAGGAAUACCCGCUGAACUUAA
rnacentral:misc_RNA from 1 species